GUAGGCUCCUGUAUCCCACACAAUGUGCUCUUGGAGUAAGUGGUAUUACAUAUCUUUUAUCCUGCACAAUGCUACCACUCAAGGGAGGAUUCCAGCUCUCCUGUUUGGGGAGAUAUUUAUAUUCACCAACUGGACAUCCUACUAUUAAGAGACCCUGAGUGAGCUUGGCACUUGACCAGGCAUCUUAAUAGAGCUUUAACAAUACUGCUCUGAAGGAAGACCAAAGUUG